UACGGAGGGUGCAAGCGUUAUCCGGAUUCACUGGGUUUAAAGGGUGUGUAGGCGGAUAUUUAAGUCAGUGGUGAAAUCUCCGGGCUCAACCCGGAAACUGCCAUUGAUACUAUUUAUCUUGAAUAUCGUUGAGGUUGGCGGAAUAUAUCAUGUAGCGGUGAAAUGCAUAGAUAUGAUAUAGAACACCGAUUGCGAAGGCAGCUAACUAAGCGAUUAUUGACGCUGAGGCACGAAAGCGUGGGGAGCAAACAGG
rnacentral:rRNA from 1 species